rnacentral:lncRNA from 1 species
UGCCACUGCAGAAUUUCAUGUGUCAUAUGGGCAUCAGCAAACACGUUCUGUCCUCUAAUGGACGAUGUUUUAGUCUCGGCUUGAACUCAGAGAAGAUGAUCCUUUUCUACCACCAUCGCAAGGGGUCUGAAGGACUUGGAAAUCACUACUUAGAAAGCUGUCUAACCGUGCUGUUAGCUCCCAUUUUCUUCCAGAAAUGGGAAAAUUGCUCUAUAUUCGGAAACAUGUUCUUUCUUUGUUCAGUAAGCUGCGUUUUCAUUUUUGGCAUCCAUAUUUAAAUCCUAAUGCACAAACAUAUAUGAAUGAUGUGGGUUUUGCCGCUGAUGGUUUUCAGUCCUGCCAUGUCUUCAGCUGUGCAGGCAACUUAACCCCUUGUUUGCUUUAGCAGAAGACCACAGGCUCUUUGCAGAAGGUGGUCUUGGGAUGCACAGCGUGUCGCACACAGCACAGAGGUCUGUCAACAAACCAUCCCCAUCUUGCAGUCCUACCUUAAUUCAAAAAAUAAAUGGUGUGCUAAGCCCGGUCA